UAUUUAUUGAAAGACAUCCAGUUGAGAAAUAGAGAAAUAAUUGUUAGGUAGGCAUAUAUGGCACAUGAUUAUGAUUAAGUUCCACUAAUUCAUAUUUCCAAAUUACACUUUCUGCUAAACCCAGAGCAUUAUAUUCAUGCAGCAGUGGUAGGGAGCAUUGAUUUUUUUUUUUUUUUUAAAUGUCCAUCCUCUUGAUAAAGCAAUGUAGUAUGAGGAACAUUUAGUAGAAUCAUUUUCUACCAUUUGAGUAUGUGAUACUCUAAUGUUAAGAAGAAAUCAAGUCUAAGUCUAGGAUAUUCAGACUAAUUAUUUGUGAUAUACAAAACUCAGUCAGUUAUAUAAAUCCAGUAGUUCCACCUGGCUUUCACCUUCUUUGUGUUGAAGUUUUCCAUCAUUUGUGGCUUACUCUAAGUAUUUUCUAUAC